rnacentral:rRNA from 1 species
GACGAACGCUGGCGGCGUGCUUAACACAUGCAAGUCGUACGGUAAGGCCCUUUCGGGGGUACACGAGUGGCGAACGGGUGAGUAACACGUGAGUAACCUGCCCACAACUUUGGGAUAACGCUAGGAAACUGGUGCUAAUACUGGAUAUGUGCUCCUGCUGCAUGGUGGGGGUUGGAAAGCUCCGGCGGUUGUGGAUGGACUCGCGGCCUAUCAGCUUGUUGGUGGGGUAGUGGCCUACCAAGGCGGCGACGGGUAGCCGGCCUGAGAGGGUGACCGGCCACAUUGGGACUGAGAUACGGCCCAGACUCCUACGGGAGGCAGCAGUGGGGAAUAUUGCACAAUGGGCGCAAGCCUGAUGCAGCGACGCCGCGUGCGGGAUGACGGCCUUCGGGUUGUAAACCGCUUUCAGCAGGGACGAAGCUUUUUGUGACGGUACCUGCAGAAGAAGCACCGGCUAACUACGUG